rnacentral:rRNA from 1 species
UAGUACGGCGAGUGAAGAGGGAAGAGCCCAAGAUUGAAAGCUGGCGUCUUCGGCGUCCGCAUUGUAAUCUCAAGAAGUGUUUUCCGCUUCGGACCAAGCCUAAGUCCCCUGGAAAGGGGCAUCAUAGAGGGUGAUAAUCCCGUACAUGGCUUGGAGCGCCCGAGGCUUUGUGAUACGCUUUCUAGGAGUCGAGUUGUUUGGGAAUGCAGCUCAAAAUGGGUGGUAAAUUUCAUCUAAAGCUAAAUAUUGGCCAGAGACCGAUAGCGCACAAGUACAGUGAUGGAAAGAUGAAAAGAACUUUGAAAAGAGAGUUAAACAGUACGUGAAAUUGCCAAAAGGGAAGGGUAGGAGGUCAGAGAUGCGGCCUGGGAUUCAGCCUUGCUUUUGCUUGGUGUUUUUCCCAGAUUGCAGGCCAACGUCGGUUUUGGGCACUGGAGAAGGGUAGGAGGAACGUGGCACCCCUCGGGGUGUGUUAUAGCCUCCUACUGGAUACAGCGACCGAGACCGAGGACAGCAGCGUACUCGCAAGAGCGGGCCUUCGGGCACCUUUACGCUUAGGGCGUUGGCAUAAUGGCCCUCUACCACCCGUCUUGA